rnacentral:rRNA from 1 species
AUACGGAGGGUGCAAGCGUUAAUCGGAAUUACUGGGCGUAAAGAGUACGUAGGUGGUUUGUUAAGUCAGACGUGAAAGCCCCGGGCUCAACCUGGGAACUGCAUUUGAAACUGGCAAACUAGAGUAUGGUAGAGGGGGGUAGAAUUUCUAGUGUAGCGGUGAAAUGCGUAGAUAUUAGAAGGAAUACCAGUGGCGAAGGCGGCCCCCUGGACCAAUACUGACACUGAGGUACGAAAGCGUGGGUAGCGAACAGGAUUAGAAACCCCAGUAGUCC